rnacentral:rRNA from 1 species
CAAGUCGAACGGCAGCACAGGAGAGCUUGCUCUCUGGGUGGCGAGUGGCGGACGGGUGAGGAAUAUAUCGGAAUCUACCCUUUCGUGGGGGAUAACGUAGGGAAACUUACGCUAAUACCGCAUACGAACUGAGGUUGAAAGCGGCGGGCCGCAAGGCGUCGCGCGGAUGGAUGAGCCGAUAUCCGAUUAGCUAGUUGGUGGGGUAAGAGCUCACCAAGGCGACGAUCAGUAGCUGGUCUGAGAGGACGACCAGCCACACUGGAACUGAGACACGGUCCAGACUCCUACGGGAGGCAGCAGUGGGGAAUUUUGGACAAUGGGCGCAAGCCUGAUCCAGCCAUUCCGCGUGAGUGAAGAAGGCCUUCGGGUUGUAAAGCUCUUUCGCAAGGGAAGAAAACUUAUCCUCUAACAUAGGAUGAGGUUGACGGUACCUUGAUAAGAAGCACCGGCUAACUACGUGCCAGCAGCCGCGGUAAUACGUAGGGUGCGAGCGUUAAUCGGAAUUACUGGGCGUAAAGCGUGCGCAGGCGGCCUUAAAAGUCAGAUGUGAAAUCCCCGAGCUCAACUUGGGAACUGCGUUUGAAACUCUAAGGCUAGAAUAUGUCAGAGGGGGGUAGAAUUCCACGUGUAGCAGUGAAAUGCGUAGAGAUGUGGAGGAAUACCAAUGGCGAAGGCAGCCCCCUGGGAUAAUAUUGACGCUCAUGCACGAAAGCGUGGGGAGCAAACAGGAUUAGAUACCCUGGUAGUCCACGCCCUAAACGAUGUCUACUAGUUGUUGGUGGAGUAAAAUCCAUGAGUAACGCAGCUAACGCGUGAAGUAGACCGCCUGGGGAGUACGGUCGCAAGAUUAAAACUCAAAGGAAUUGACGG